UAAACUACGAUUAGAUACCCUAUUAUUUUAAAUGUAAAUGUUGAAUACUUGAGUAGUAAGAGUUAUGGUCUUGAAACUCAAAGAAUUUGGCGGUGUUUUAGUCCUUUCAGAGGAACCUGCCCCGUAAUCGAUAUUCCGCGUUAGACCUAACUUAAUCUGGUGACUCAGUUUGUAUACCGCCGUCGUCAGAAUGUCCUAUAAGGGUAUAAAUUUUCUUUAUUUUAAAUGUGAAAGGAUGUCAGGUCAAGGUGCAGCUAAUGAUUAAGUGGUGGUGGGUUACAAUAAAUUUAUUUAUUAUGAAUAAUCAAUUGAAAAUGAUUGGUUUGAAGGUGGAUUUGAAAGUAAUUUUAUAUAGUAUAAUAUAUUGAUUUUGGCUCUAAAACAUGCACACAUCGCCCGUCGCUCUUA
rnacentral:rRNA from 1 species